rnacentral:rRNA from 1 species
UACAGAGGUGGCAAGCGUUGUUCGGAAUUACUGGGCGUAAAGGGCGCGUAGGCGGUCUUGUAAGUCUUGUGUGAAAUCCCUCGGCUUAACUGAGGAACUGCACGAGAUACUGCAAGGCUUGAGUGCGGCAGAGGAGACUGGAAUUCCCGGUGUAGCAGUGAAAUGCGUAGAUAUCGGGAGGAAUACCGAUGGCGAAGGCAGGUCUCUGGGCUGACACUGACGCUCAUGCACGAAAGCGUGGGGAGCAAACAGG